CAGCACUGGCAAGUGACCCAUUGGGCUCCUCCUUGACCAAAUGGGCAUCGAGCAGUGCAAAAGCAAAUCCCCCCAACAAAGCUGGGAGAGUCAUGCUGUGGGCUACUCCUGCAUGCAGGGGGAUACAUAG
ensembl:snoRNA small nucleolar RNA, H/ACA box 35